rnacentral:rRNA from 1 species
UACGGGGGGGGCAAGCGUUGUUCGGAAUUACUGGGCGUAAAGGGCUCGUAGGCGGCCAACUAAGUCAUACGUGAAAUCCCUCGGCUUAACCGGGGAACUGCGUCUGAUACUGGAUGGCUUGAGUUUGGGAGAGGGAUGCGGAAUUCCAGGUGUAGCGGUGAAAUGCGUAGAUAUCAGGAGGAACACCGGUGGCGAAGGCGGCUUGCUGGGCCAGUUCUGACGCUGAGGAGCGAAAGCGUGGGGAGCGAACAGG